CUGAGAUCAUGAUCUCUUAAAGGUGAGACUCUCAGAAAGGUUGAUUGUUGGUGUCAGUGAGUUUUCUUUCACUUUCUGGAAUGAAGUCACUUGCAGUUUCUGUACUGGAUUAAGGAGCUUAGUAUUAUUAAAGAAGUCUGCCUUCAGCCCCAGCAGCAACUGGGUGUUCCCUGCUCUGACUGCAGAAAGCUGGUUGAGAGCUGCGCUGUGGAAUGGUGCUUCCAGGAGGACUCCAGAGAGGUGUUCAGACGCCUUCCUCCAGGCUCCUUUCUAAUUUUAAUCAGCUCCUGAAAUAGCUGCCCAUCUCCUCUGCACAACCCCCCUCUGACAUUUGCGCCUUAGAAGAGGCAGGUGUUAAAAUGGGAUCCAAAGACCAAAUGGGGUGGGGCUGGAAGGGGGGCAGCAGCUGAGAGCCUCGCAAGCUCUCCUCUGCCUCACAGCCCUCCUGCUAGACGUGGCGAGGCGGCUUCAGGGGCUCUGGACAGAGUUACCUGGUUUGCCAGGAAGAAAGCCCAAAGUGCUGGAGGCAGCAGGCCCUGCUCCUUGAAUGCCCGUUUCUUUUUAAAUUGCUAUUUAGCCAGUGAUGUCUGAGACUUUGUUAUGAUAAUUUCUACCGAUUUUCAUGCUGCCUCAUACUCCGUUCCUCUCUGAGGAAAGUAAAAUAAAUUGCAUAAGGAGAAAUUGGAUAAGGAGAAAUCAGAAGCUGUCCAAAUUCCCUGACCCAGCACAGUUGGCCAGCCCACAGCGCUGCUUGGCCAUAGCUGCUUUUCUUUGCCCACUGGAAAGGCUAGCCAGAGGUCAGUGUCCCCACACCCCGGCCUGGCCACCAUGAACAGAAAACAGGAAAGCAGCCCUCACCAGCCCCGGGGUGUCUGGCUGCUGGGUGGGGACUCACCUCAAUGCUCCAAAGGCUCCAGGGCCCCUUUGUUCUUAAGCAUCAUCUGUGCCUCCAAAUACCACAGUAGCUGCUUGAUAAACUUCUGAAACAAAGUAUUUGGUUCUCCACUGUGUUAACGUUAUUACAUACAAUCACCAAUCUGUUAAGACUCUUUCAUCUGUUUCCCAUAUCAGAGUCGUUAUUUUUCUUCCUGUGGAAUAAAAUGCUUUGUUGACUUCCCAGA